UGGUCCUGGAGCAGAUGAGCGCAGAAUAUUUAGGCGAAAGCGCGAGGAGGGAGGGGAGCGCGGGGCAGGAGGAGUAUCUCGGCCCAGAAAAUUAUGCAUGCGUUAGGGAAGCUCUGAGAGAAUGGCUGUGGAAGCUCUCCACUGCGGUUUGAAUCCACGGGGUAUUGAUCACCCUGCCCGUGCUGAAGGUAUUAAACUGCAAAUUGAAGGUGAAGGUGUUGAUUCUCACUCUAUUAAAAACAAAAAUUUCCAGAAGGUGCUUGACCAAAAAGGAACCCCCAAGCGACUUCAGGCAGAAGCCGAGACGGCUAAGUCGGCUACGGUGAAGCUGUCAAAACCAGUGGCUCUGUGGACUCAGCAGGAUGUCUGCAAGUGGUUGAAGAAACAUUGUCCGAAUCAGUAUCAGAUCUACAGUGAGUCAUUCAAACAGCAUGACAUAACUGGGCGAGCCCUGCUGAGACUUACAGACAAAAAGCUUGAGCGGAUGGGGAUUGCUCAGGAGAGCCUCCGGCAGCACAUCUUACAACAGGUGCUCCAGCUGAAGGUGCGAGAAGAAGUCCGAAACCUACAGUUACUCACACAAGAUCAAGUAAAUGCACGAAACCCCAUAAUGUAUGACAUGGUUUCCCAAACCACAGCCCUGUCAUAGGGCUGAAUGCCAAUCCAGGGAUCCAGUUUUCCCCUUCCUUUCGUGCAACUUCUCCUAUCCCUGAGAUGGAUAUCUUCCACGCUCUGCAAAAAAGAAAAAAAAAAAAAAAAAAAAAAAAAAAAGGAAGGACGUUCCAAGAAUACAAGCCACCAUAAGUUCAUCUUGAAGUUGAGUCACCGUUACCUCCAAUAGCGCCUUCUCUUUGACCUAAGGAUGUUAAGCCUCAACUGAGGGUUCUCCAUAAACGCGGUUAGCCUUCCAAGCUGCUGUCCUGCCAGUCGAUAUGAACAUGGCCUGUUCCUCACAGAAAGACUAACUCAUGGCACUGCCAGAAGAUAUCCUUGGAGCAUUGACAGAUUAACCAGAUUAACUG